rnacentral:rRNA from 1 species
GUGCCAGACUCCUACGGGAGGCAGCAGUGGGGAAUAUUGCACAAUGGGGGAAACCCUGAUGCAGCGACGCCGCGUGAGUGAAGAAGUAUUUCGGUAUGUAAAGCUCUAUCAGCGGGGAAGAAAUAGCGACCUUUGGGUCGCCAGACGGUACCUGACCAAGAAGCCCCGGCUAACUACGUGCCAGCAGCCGCGGUAAUACGUAGGGGGCAAGCGUUAUCCGGAAUUACUGGGUGUAAAGGGAGCGUAGACGGUUAAGUAAGUCUAGAGUGAAAGGCCGGGGCCCAACCCCGGGACUGCUCUGGAAACUAUUCAACUUGAGUGCAGGAGAGGUAAGCGGAAUUCCUAGUGUAGCGGUGAAAUGCGUAGAUAUUAGGAGGAACACCAGUGGCGAAGGCGGCUUACUGGACUGUAACUGACGUUGAGGCUCGAAAGCGUGGGGAGCAAACAGGAUUAGAUACCCUUGUA